CUGCUGCCUCCCGUAGGAGUCUGGUCCGUGUCUCAGUACCAGUGUGGGGGACCUUCCUCUCAGAACCCCUACGCAUCGUCGGUUAGGUGGGCCGUUACCCCGCCUACUGCCUAAUGCGCCGCAUGCCCAUCCCUGUCCGGCCGAAGCCUUUCCUGCCUCCGGGAUGCCCCGGUGGCAUGUACGCGGGUUUAGCCCGCCUUUCGGCGGGUUGUCCCCCUGACAGGGGCAGGUUGCAUACGUGUUACUCACCCGUGCGCCGGUCGCCGGCGGCAAGG
rnacentral:rRNA from 1 species